CACGCCGUAAACGAUGAAUACUAGGUGUAGGGGGUAUCGACUCCCUCUGUGCCGCAGCAAACGCAAUAAGUAUUCCACCUGGGGAGUACGGCCGCAAGGUUGAAACUCAAAGGAAUUGACGGGGGCCCGCACAAGCAGUGGAUUAUGUGGUUUAAUUCGAAGCAACGCGAAGAACCUUACCAGGACUUGACAUCCCUUGACCGCCAUAGAGAUAUGGCUUCCCUUCGGGGCAAGGAGACAGGUGG
rnacentral:rRNA from 1 species